rnacentral:rRNA from 1 species
AUUGAACGCUGGCGGCAGGCCUAACACAUGCAAGUCGAACGAGUGGAGGACGGGUGAGUAAUGUCUGGGAAAUUGCCUGCUGGAGGGGGAUAACUACUGGAACCGGUAGCUAAUACCAAAUACCAUCCAUUAUGCCCAGAGGUGAUUAGCUAGUUGGUGGGUUAAUGGCUCACCAAGGGGCCGAUCCCUCGCUGGUCAGAGAGGAUGACCAGCAACACUGGAACGGUGACACGGUCCAGACUCCUACGUAAGGCAGCAGUGGGGAAGAGUGCACAAUGGGCGCAAGCCUGAUGCAUCCAUGCCGCGUGUAUGAAGAAGGCCUUCGGGUUGGAAAGUACUUUCAGCGGGGAGGCGUUACCCGCAGAAGAAGCACCGGCUAACUCCGUGCCAGCCGCCGCGGUAAUUC